rfam:Hordeum vulgare subsp. vulgare, WGS project CAJW01000000 data, contig: morex_contig_91764
GUACUACUCCCUCCGAUCUAUAUUACUUGUCUUAGAUUUGUCCAGAUACGGAUGUAUCUAAACCUAAAACAUGUCUAGAUACAUCCGUAUCUAGACAAAUUUAAGACAAGUAAUAUGGAUCGAAGGGAGUAAUAU